rnacentral:rRNA from 1 species
AGUCAAUAGAUACCCGGGUAGUCCACGCCCUAAACGAUGAUCACUCGACAUCAGCGAUAAAACUGUUGGUGUCUGAAGCAAAAAGCAUUAAGUGAUCCACCUGGGAAGUACGAUCGCAAGAUUGAAACUCAAAGGAAUUGGCGGGGUCGCACAAGCGGUGGAGCAUGUGGUUUAAAUUCGAUGAUACGCGAGGAACCUUACCUGGGCUAGAAUGCAGAAUGACCGAGGGUGAAAGCUCUCUUUGUAGCAAUACACAUUUUGUAAGGUGCUGCAUGGCUGUCGUCAGCUCGUGCCGUGAGGUGUUGGGUUAAGUCCCGCAACGAGCGCAACCCCCGAUCACUAGUUGCCAUCAGGUAA